rnacentral:rRNA from 1 species
UACGAAGGGUGCAAGCGUUGCUCGGAAUUAUUGGGCGUAAAGGGUAGGUAGGUGGUUGCGUAUGUCCGGGGUGAAAUCCCUGAGCUUAACUCAGGAAGUGCCUUGGAAACGGCGUAACUAGAGUACUAGAGAGGUUCGUGGAAUUCCCGGUGUAGCGGUGAAAUGCGUAGAGAUCGGGAGGAACAUCAGAGGCGAAGGCGGCGAACUGGAUAGUAACUGACACUGAACUACGAAAGCGUGGGUAGCAAACAGG